rnacentral:rRNA from 1 species
AGCAGCCGCGGUAAUUCCAGCUCCAAUAGCGUAUAUUAAAGUUGUUGCAGUUAAAAAGCUCGUAGUUGAAUUUCGGGGUUAGUGGAUUGGUCGUGCCAUCGGUAUGCACUGGUCUUACUGAUUCCUCCUUCUUGAAGAACUGUAAUGUCAUUAAUUUGGUGUUGCAGGGAAACAGGAUUGUUACUUUGAAAAAAUUAGAGUGUUUAAAGCAGGCUAACGCCUGAAUACAUUAGCAUGGAAUAAUGAAAUAGGACGUUUGAUCCUAUUUUGUUGGUUUCUAGGAUUGACGUAAUGAUUAAUAGGGAUAGUUGGGGGCAUUAGUAUUCAAUUGUCAGAGGUGAAAUUCUUGGAUUUAUUGAAGACUAACUACUGCGAAAGCAUUUGCCAAGGAUGUUUUCUAUUAAUCAAGAACGAAAGUUAGGGGAUCGAAGACGAUCAGAUACCGUCGUAGUCUUAACCAUAAACUAUGCCGACUAGGGAUCGGAUGAUGUAAUUUUUAAUGACUCAUUCGGCGCCUUAA